GACAGAGGGGGCAAGCGUUGCUCGGAAUUACUGGGCGUAAAGGGCGCGUAGGCGGGAUGGCAAGUCGGUCGUGAAAUCCCUCGGCUCAACCGAGGAACGCCGAUCGAUACUGCUGUUCUUGAGGAUUGCAGAGGAGACUGGAAUUCCCGGAUGUAGCGGUGAAAUGCGUAGAUAUCGGGAGGAAUACCUAUGGCGAAAGCAGGCUACUGGACCGUCACUGACUCUGAUCUGACGAAAGCUAGGGGAGCAAACAGG
rnacentral:rRNA from 1 species